rnacentral:lncRNA from 1 species
AUGCCUUCCAAAAUACAAAGUCUAGAAACUGAGCUGGAGAAAGUUUCUGAGGUUAUCAAGACUACUUCUGUCAUUUUUCAGCCACCUGCAGUGAGCCCCUUGAAACUGUGCAGUCUGAAGAUGGAAAACCCUUACGUCUCUGUAGGAGGAGAAGAUCUGAGCCAGAAAGAUGUCUUUUCUGAACUGAGAGUAUGGAGAGAACAGCAUAAGCGGUGCCUGCAAACAGGUCAGCAAGACAAGGCUGACCGAGCAGUGAAGAUAACUGUUAGCGAUGAGGAAGAGGAUGAAGCCUGCAGCCUGGCUGACAGCAGUGAGGAAGAGUUGAGGGAGGCUUCUGAUGAGGACCUCGUUGAUUCUUCCUGCCACUCCUGUGUCUCUCAGUCGUCUUCAGAUUCAUCACGUACUCAGGAAGGCACAGCGUCCUCCAGCCUGAGCCGUUGUCUAAUUCCAUCUCCGCCGAAAAGCCCUUCGCCUGCCUCUCUAAGGGGUGUUGCAGCAAGACGCUGGAAAACGAGGAACCACAGGGUAAGGUGUCUAAAAGUGCCCAGCCAAGAGGAGGACAGGCAGUGGACACAGCAGUGCCAGUCAAGGGCUAGGAAAGAAACUUCAGCCCAUCCUCUGGGCGAUGAACUUGCUCUCCUGAGCCUGCACAGUGCGCCAGCGGCACGUGAGCCUUCACCCUUUGGAUCUCGAGGAGAACACCAGCCUGAUGGGAGCACUGGCAGGCAGAGACCUAUUUCAGGACCAGCAGCUGUUGGAUCAACAAGCAUCAGGCCUGUCAUGGACAGGAGUCCCCCUGGUGUGAUCAACCAUCACCUGCCAGUUCUUCGCUCAGCUACAAAAGCCUCAGAGAGGUUUGGACCAGCAAAUGCAGUUUGGCCCCCGACUGCUAGGGCCACGCUGCAGAAGUUGCCAGACAGACCUGCUGUCUCGACGUCGUCUCAGAGCAAGAAUCCCCAGUCCUAG